rnacentral:rRNA from 1 species
GGAGGAAAAGAAACAAACAAGGAUUCCCCUAGUAACUGCGAGUGAAGCGGGAAAAGCUCAAAUUUGAAAUCUGGCGGUUUUUUGACUGUCCGACUUGUAAUCUAGAGAAGUGUUACCUGUGCUGAACCGUGUACAAGUCUCCUGGAAUGGAGCAUCAUAGAGGGUGAGAAUCCCGUCUUUGACACGGACUACCUGUACAUUGUGGUGCGCUCUCGAAGAGUCGAGUUGUUUGGGAAUGCAGCUCAAAAUGGGUGGUAAAUGCCAUCUAAAGCUAAAUAUUGGCGAGAGACCGAUAGCGAACAAGUACCGUGAGGGAAAGAUGAAAAGAACUUUGGAAAGAGAGUUAAACAGUACGUGAAAUUGCUGAAAGGGAAACGCUUGAAGUCAGACACGUUGGCUAGAAAUCAGCCCUGCUCUUGCUUGGUGUACUUUCUGGUUGAUGGGUCAGCAUCAAUUUUGACCAUUGGAUAAAGUCUCUGGGAAUGUGGCAUCUUUGGAUGUGUUAUAGCCCAGGGUCGCAUGCAGUGGUUGGGAUUGAGGAACUCAGCACGCCGCAAGGCCGGGUUUCGACCACGUUCGUGCUUAGGAUGCUGGCAUAAUGGCUUUAAUCGACCCGUUG